UGAGAGGUCAACGGAGAGUUCAAGUGUGUGGCAGCUGACGUGAUUCGAUGUGUCUGCUAUCGUUUAUUGAUCUGUUUCAGCAUGGAGUUAGUUUGUCCAAACGUUCAUGGAAAUAUUGAACAAUUAUGAUGAGAGAUUUAGGGGUAGCUUCCCCAGGAGACGGAAUUAACGGCAGUCCAUCUCGACAUUCAUCCUCGCGACAAGGUUCGAGUGAUCGGUUGUACCCAUCACUUUUUCCGUCAGAUGAUGAAGAUGACAUGUACUACUCAAAAGACAGUGACAGUGCUAGUGGAGCAUCUGUUACAAGUGAAGCACGCUCAACUCCCCCACUCGUCAAUCGCAGACGACACCUUUAUCCCCAAAAUGAGUUUGUAAAUCACCUGAGACCCGAGGAGGUUCGGUGGUUCUACAAACAAGUAGGGGAUAAGGAAUGGAGAUCUUUUAUUGGGUACGAUUCCUUGAGAAUAGAAUGUAGAUUUCGUGCCAUGCAGAACAUAACGGAAGAAGAAAAGACAAUGUUUGAGAAAGAUAUCAUAACUGUCAGAGGCGGUCUAUAUGAAGUCGACGUGGAUAUGAAAAAGUGCACCCCAAUUUAUUGGUCAGACGACGUGGCAGAAAUGAGGCGAGGCUUGUGGUUCUAUGACGAUUACUGGCAGCCAGUUGAGGACGAGUAUGCUCAGGAGAUAGAAUCUGUACAUAUUGCCAAGUAUAUGGGACAUAAACUCAACCAACCUCCACAAUCAAAGGGCAGGAAACAAGUUGUUCAGCGGAAAAACUUUCCAGAAUUCUACAUAGAUUGGAAUUCAGUUGAUGAGAUCUUUCUCUUCAGUGAAUCAGCGUCAUCUAAAAUUUUCAGAUCGGUGAGCAACAAGAUCGGCAUUGCAAAAAGUGGAAGGCGUCUGCGGCGAGGAUAUCGUUAUGAGGCGGUGAUGGACGAUAAACCCCCAGACAUCUCACAUUUGCUGUUUGUCAUCCAUGGUAUUGGGCAGAAAAUGGAGACCGGCAAUAUAAUCAAUCGUUGUCAAGAUCUGAGAAAUCAAGUGAAGAUAUUGAAACAAAAGUUGUUUCCAAACUUUAAUGAACUAAAUCAGAGAGCUGAAUUCUUGCCUGUGGAAUGGAGAACAAGACUAAAACUUGAUGGAGACACAGUGGAUUCCAUUACACCCCACAAGCUUCGAGGGAUCAGGACAGUGUUAAACAGUAGUGCUAUGGACAUUCUGUACUAUACAAGUCCACUGUACAGGUCUGAGAUAACACACAGUCUACAGACCGAGCUCAACAGGCUUCAUGAGAUGUUCUGUAAGAGAAAUCCAUACUUUCUGGCUAAUGGAGGGAAGGUAUCCAUCAUUGCUCAUUCCCUAGGUUCUGUGAUAACGUACGACAUCAUUACUGGCUGGAACCCAAUACAGAUGUAUGACCAGUUUGUUACUUCCGUGAUAGACAAUGAGGAACAAACUGCCGGCUCAUCCGCUGAGAUAAGGGAUGAACUCAAGGAAGCAAAGAGAAGAAUAAACGAUGAAAAAGAUAAUUUGACAUUAGUAAAUGACCUAGAAUCACUGCUGAUGACGGUCCACGAGAAGCAAAAGACAGAGACAACUCUUAACUUCCAGCUGGAGAACCUGUUCUGCCUUGGGUCACCAUUGGCUGUGUUCCUGGCUUUAAGAGGGAUUCGCCCAAAAGGGAAGGGUACAUUGGACCACAUCCUUCCCAGCUCAGCCUGUAAACGCCUCUACAAUAUUUACCAUCCAUACGACCCUGUGGCCUACAGACUGGAACCCCUGAUUCUGAAGCACUACUCCACCAUUGCACCACUUUGUAUACACAAACAUGACGCAGGAAAUAAGCAGCCCUACGGCCAGAUGAAAACAGAAGCUUACGCUGCCUUCCAGGCCUCAAGUGAGAGUGAGCGGGGUGACCAGUCAGAUCGCGAGUUUGUAGAUAGCACAGAGCUUGCCUCAAACAGCAGCCAGGAUACUUCUCCGUCUCGUAACCAAGGUUUUACUUCCUUCUUAACUGGUAUCUUCACAAAGAAGAAUGAGGUCAGUCUUGCUGCGGAACUGAAGAGCAUCAAGAGAUUGGAGAAGGACGCGGCUGCCAUAGAGAAGUCACUGAAUUCUGAGAUGAUGGAGGAGGAUAUAGACCAAACAGGUACAAAGUGAUGUCAUACUUAAUAAAUAGAAUGGAGGAGGAUAUAGACCAAACAGGUACAAAGUGAUGUCAUACUUAAUAAAUAGAAUGGAGGAGGAUAUAGACCAAACAGGUACAGAGUGAUGUCAUACUUAAUAAAUAGAAUGGAGGAGGAUAUAGACCAAACAGGUACAAAGUGAUGUCAUACUUAAUAAAUAGAAUGGAGGAGGAUAUAGACCAAACAGGUACAAAGUGAUGUCAUACUUAAUAAAUAGAAUGGAGGAGGAUAUAGACCAAACAGGUACAAAGUGAUGUCAUACUUAAUAAAUAGAAUGGAGGAGGAUAUAGACCAAACAGGUACAAAGUGAUGUCAUACUUAAUAAAUAGAAUGGAGGAGGAUAUAGACCAAACAGGUACAAAGUGAUGUCAUACUUAAUAAAUAGAAUGGAGGAGGAUAUAGACCAAACAGGUACAAAGUGAUGUCAUACUUAAUAAAUAGAAUGGAGGAGGAUAUAGACCAAACAGGUACAAAGUGAUGUCAUACUUAAUAAAUAGAAUGGAGGAGGAUAUAGACCAAACAGGUACAAAGUGAUGUCAUACUUAAUAAAUAGAAUGGAGGAGGAUAUAGACCAAACAGGUACAAAGUGAUGUCAUACUUAAUAAAUAGAAUGGAGGAGGAUAUAGACCAAACAGGUACAAAGUGAUGUCAUACUUAAUAAAUAGAAUGGAGGAGGAUAUAGACCAAACAGGUACAAAGUGAUGUCAUACUUAAUAAAUAGAAUGGAGGAGGAUAUAGACCAAACAGGUACAAAGUGAUGUCAUACUUAAUAAAUAGAAUGGAGGAGGAUAUAGACCAAACAGGUACAAAGUGAUGUCAUACUUAAUAAAUAGAAUGGAGGAGGAUAUAGACCAAACAGGUACAAAGUGAUGUCAUACUUAAUAAAUAGAAUGGAGGAGGAUAUAGACCAAACAGGUACAAAGUGAUGUCAUACUUAAUAAAUAGAAUGGAGGAGGAUAUAGACCAAACAGGUACAAAGUGAUGUCAUACUUAAUAAAUAGAAUGGAGGAGGAUAUAGACCAAACAGGUACAAAGUGAUGUCAUACUUAAUAAAUAGAAUGGAGGAGGAUAUAGACCAAACAGGUACAAAGUGAUGUCAUACUUAAUAAAUAGAAUGGAGGAGGAUAUAGACCAAACAGGUACAAAGUGAUGUCAUACUUAAUAAAUAGAAUGGAGGAGGAUAUAGACCAAACAGGUACAAAGUGAUGUCAUACUUAAUAAAUAGAAUGGAGGAGGAUAUAGACCAAACAGGUACAAAGUGAUGUCAUACUUAAUAAAUAGAAUGGAGGAGGAUAUAGACCAAACAGGUACAGAGUGAUGUCAUACUUAAUAAAUAGAAUGGAGGAGGAGGAUACAGACCAAACAGGUACAAAGUGAUGUCAUACUUAAUAAAUAGAAUGGAGGAGGAUAUAGACCAAACAGAUUUGGAGUACCGUAUUGAUUUCCAGCUGAGAGAAGGUGGAUUUGUCAGCAGUUAUCUCUCUUUGCUGACCUCUCAUACCU
rnacentral:misc_RNA from 1 species